GCGGCGAUGUGCGGGGCAGCAGCUGAAAAACGUGAUUUUUGAGUCAUUUCUUAGAUUUUCUUUUCCUCUCUUCUUCUUCCCUCUUCCAUGUCCGAAACCCUAGCUCCCAAAACCUUGAUUUCCUCCACUUUUCUCAACAAAUCAACCAUGGAUCUUGCAUCAAGGAUGGAGAAUAAGAGGAGAUCACCACUUUCUACCGAAUGGAAUUUUGAAAUUUUUGAGGGCAUAACCUGAGAAGGACAAGCACUCCGUUAUAGCACUGUAACCAACCAGGACGUUCGUCCCCUUUUGUCAACCUUUAUGAGUCCAGGCACUAAGCGAGAUCACUCAGUUUUGUGAAGCUUUGUUAAGACAUUGUCUUGUUUUUUUUUUUUUUGAUUACUCAUUUAAGGUUAAAUGUACAUGACUUCAAUGUUUUU